AGCCACCGCGGUCACACAAGAGACCCAAAUUAACGGUAUUCGGCGUAAAGAGUGGAACUAUGAUAUCAUACCAACUAGGAUCGAAAUACAGCUAAGCUGUCAUAAGCUUAAGAUGUACAUAAGCUCACUAUUAAGAUGAUCCUAGCAAUUUUGAUUAAUUUGACUCCACGAAAGCUAGGGCCCAAACUGGGAUUAGAUACCCCAUUAUGCCUAGCCCUAAAUCUUGAUGUUUGCCGCACCAAAGCAUCCGCCUGAGAACUACGAGCACAAACGCUUAAAACUCUAAGGACUUGGCGGUACCCCAAACCCACCUAGAGGAGCCUGUUCUGUAAUCGAUAACCCACGAUCUACCCAACCACUCCUUGCUAAGGCAGCCUAUAUACCGCCGUCGCCAGCUCACCUUCACUGAGAGUUAAACAGUGAGCACAAUAGCCUAGCUCGCUAGUAAGACAGGUCAAGGUAUAGCCUAUGGGGUGGAAGUAAUGGGCUACAUUUUCUAUUAUAGAAAACCUACGAAAGGAGGUAUGAAACAGCCUCCGGAAGGUGGAUUUAGCAGUAAAGUGGGACAAUAGAGCCCUCUUUAAGUUGGCCCUGGGGUACGUACAUACCGCCCGUCACCCUCCUCAUAAGCCACCAAUCACCAUAACUAAUAACCUUCGCGGCUGAAGAUGAGGUAAGUCGUAACAAGGUAAGUGUACCGGA
rnacentral:rRNA from 1 species